CUGCGGCCCGCCCCCCGCGGAAGGACUAAAGGAUUAUGGCACAGGCCCAGGGUUUGGGGAAGAAAUACAUUAAAGCCUUUUUAAAAGGUUUCUUUGUUGCUGUUCCUGUCACUGUGACUUUCCUGGAUAGAGUUGCCUGUGUCGCAAGAGUGGAAGGAGCAUCAAUGCAGCCUUCUUUGAAUCCUGGGGGAAGACAAGCAUCUGAUGUAGUGCUCUUAAACCACUGGAGCAUUCGAAAUUAUGACGUACAACGCGGGGACAUUGUGUCAUUGGUCCUUGGUCCUUGUAUCCUGCCUGCUCCUUGUGCCAGCCUGAGGGCCUGACCUGCAAGGAGAGGGAAGGACUGUGUCUGGUGCAGCUGUUGUGGCACAUUGCUCAGCCACGAUUAAGGAUCCAAGUCUCAUUCCUGAAAUGGCACGUAUAACCAUGGCUUAGGUUUUUGAGGAGACUGCUAUGUUAAGAGAGCUGAGAUAAUGUCUACAGAGUAGAAUAAUGCAAGCUAGCAAAGGCAAAAUGAAAGAUGUGAGCUACCAUUGUUGAGAUGGGAAUAACACCAGCAAUAACACCAGUUGGAGAAUGCCAUCAUGAAGAGGUAUACAACCUAAAGGCAAAAAUGGACUCAGCCAGAGAUGUCAAGUCAGCACCAUUAAGGAUCAUUUCCAGGUACCAGUGAAGCCCUUUCCAACAUGAAUGAUAGCACUUAAAGCAAAAAGACUCCAUGUGUUUUGCCUGGAUGGUGAUAAUACUAAUGCUUAGUCACCUAAAAACUGUAGGUAUAUUUUGUGUGCAUUAGCCAAUAAAUAGUUUAAAACACCAUAUUUAUUAUUAAAUAAGUGUUGUAUUUUAAUGAUCUUUUAAGAUUUAUUCUGCUUACAGUGACUUUUUGCAUACAGUUAAUGUGACCUGAAAAAGGAGGGCUGCAUGCCUUGUUAAAGAGUUAAAACGCAUUUUUCUUCAAAAUCUGAAACUCUUUUUUUUUGACUAGUAUUAUAUGUUACCUGAGCUGACUGGGCAGUUAUAUGUUACCUGAACUGACUGGGGAGUUUGUGUUCAUACAAGCUUUCUAUAAAACUAUUCUGCUGGAGUUUUAAAAAUUUAAUCAAUUAGAAUUGUAUCAUUUGCCAUACUUUUUCUCCCAGUGGUAAUUUGCUAUCCAAUUUUUGUGUAAUGUAUAUUGUUCUAGUUUAGUUCCUGUGUUGAAAACUGUUUUAUUAGCUAGUUCUUAAGCAGUAGUGUGCAUUAAAGUGAAAUUGAGCCAUAAUAUUACUGCACUAUCACAUUAAUAUGAUCAUAUUCUUUCUACAGUAGAUGGACAUAAAUCUGUCAGUAGCAAAACCUGCAAAAUAAAAGUACAAAUCCA